rnacentral:lncRNA from 1 species
UUCUGAACUAGCAGAAGGCUCAUUUUUAACAAAAGCCCUGGCAUGGGCUGAAGUGGCAUUAUAAGUGGUAUAAGUGGUGCUCCAGAAUAUAAAUACAGCUUAUAUGGAAUAUAUAAAGCAGGAGUACUAGGAUGGUUUAGAACAUCUCAUACUUUGUUGAGUUUCAUGUUCUCCGAAUGCAGACAUUCUUUCCAUUGAUAACUAAAUGUUCAGCUUUAAUUUGAUUGGUGACAUAAUGACAAACUGGCACAGACUAGUUAAUAAAUGUCUAGCCAUGAAGUGAACACAAGGGGAACCAUUAAUGACUACUAUGAGUUAUAAAUUCCUUUGUUUACAUAUUAAGAGUACUGUUUGGAAAUAUGUGUGAAACAACUUGUAUUUUACAUAUAUGAGAAUUAC